rnacentral:rRNA from 1 species
AGUGAACGCUGGCGGUAGGCCUAACACAUGCAAGUCGAACGGCAGCACAGUAAGAGCUUGCUCUUACGGGUGGCGAGUGGCGGACGAGUGAGGAAUACAUCGGAAUCUACUUUUUCGUGGGGGAUAACGUAGGGAAACUUACGCUAAUACCGCAUACGACCUACGGGUGAAAGCAGGGGAUCUUCGGACCUUGCGCGAUUGAAUGAGCCGAUGUCGGAUUAGCUAGUUGGCGGGGUAAAGGCCCACCAAGGCGACGAUCCGUAGCUGGUCUGAGAGGAUGAUCAGCCACACUGGAACUGAGACACGGUCCAGACUCCUACGGGAGGCAGCAGUGGGGAAUAUUGGACAAUGGGCGCAAGCCUGAUCCAGCCAUACCGCGUGGGUGAAGAAGGCCUUCGGGUUGUAAAGCCCUUUUGUUGGGAAAGAAAAGCAGCGGGUUAAUACCCCGCUGUUCUGACGGUACCCAAAGAAUAAGCACCGGCUAACUUCGUG